rnacentral:lncRNA from 1 species
UUGGCAGACUUUUGGGGACUUAAUCCUCAUCCAUUCCCCUCCACUCCUACGCACGCCUCACCCCAGCUGGAGACCACCCGUAGCUUCUCCAUUUUCUCUUUCUCUGUUACCGCUCAUCUCCAUCGAAUUCCUCCAUUUCCUUUCCCCAGCUGCCUGUCCCAGUCAGUGGCCACCGGUUCCUCUCAGCUUUAGUCUUCAUCCCUGCAGCCGCCAAGUCUUGUGUCGUCUCCAAGUUCGGUCAACACUGCAGCGCCACCAUCCACCGAAAUUUCCCUUAACCGAAGAAAUCCUCAUGCGUCCGCUGAAGAUCAGCGAAGCCAGCUCCCCUUCUCCUCCGUUCCCUUUGCCACGCUAGCCCACGUGUCUCCCAGCUACCAGAGUUGGUCAACCAACUGACUUCAACGUUGUGGAUUUCGGCCAGCUCAAAGACCAAGCGAAGCUGCUACCGCGCGUCUUCUGGUUGUCUGCCCACCGUCCGCGAGCAGCUCAGCAUCUUCGGUCUCCUCUGCCAACGAAUCCAGCCGCGUGAAGUCCAAGCGAAGCAGCUCCCUUCGUCCGCAUCUUCACCAGCCCUCGUGUCUUCAGCUUCUUCAGUCAGAACCCCAGCGAAGGACCACCGCCGUUGACUCCAAAGCCACCGAAGCCUCCAUUUUCCCUGUUUCCCUCACGGUUGUCGGCGAAGCUUCUCUCCACGCUCCCGUGUUCCAUUGGAUCGGUCAAAGCCCAGCCACCCAUCUCCUUCGUUCAGCCCAAGUGAAGACCGAAGCCCACGGAUCCAGCAGCUUAAGUCCCCUCUUGCGGAUCAGCCCAACCUUCACGCAAGUCUGGCCCACAAGAAUCAGCCCAGCAGGUUUUUGUUUUCAGCAACCCUCAGCCCAUCUCCAACAGAUUUUGAAGUCCAAGUUCAGGCCCAAGUUCAAUUGGUUUUAGCAGCCCAUUUUGGGCCCAAGAAGAAGGCCCAAGCCCGCGACCAGCAGCUUGUAGAAGCCCAAGACCUAAACUCAGCCUUGCUGAGUUGUGUUGGGCCCAUUUUAGGCCCGGCCCAAGUCCGCCGACGCUGCCGAAAAUUAAGAUUUCGGCCGCCGUCGCGUCGUUGUCGCGGUGAACCGGUUUUCACGAUACACCGGUGAGUUUAUACUCUAAACUCUGCUUAGUAGGUUAAUGACGUUUAAGGGGUGUUAGAUUUAUUUUAUUUGGAAUUAGGUGGUUAGUUAGAUUAAAUUAGAAAUUGAAUUAUUGAAUUGAGCAUGUUAGGUGGUUAGCAUGGUUUAGCUAAGGCCUAAAUAAAUUGCACUAUUUAUCUAGUAGGGUUCGGGAAUUUCUCCGAGUCUGUAUUGGUUAUUAAUUUAAUGAUUCUGGCCUAGGUUAGUAUUUUUAGAAUUUAAAUUGAUUUAUUUAAUUAAUUUCAGUAUUUAUUUAAUUAUUAAUUAUUUUUCCGGAAAUUAGGCCGGGAUAGUCAGUGACCGGAAUUUCGUGCUGAUUGCAAUGGUGUGGUUAAUUUAUGCAAUUGAGUGUUAAAUUAUGCAAAUUGAGUGCUGAUUGAAUUUUUAGUAUUUAAUUCCAAAAAUUGUGAAUUUCCAAUAUUUAUUCAGAAAAUCCCAGGUGUCGGGUUUUGACAUCGAAAAUGGUUUUUAGUACUAUAUGAAAUAGUGGGAUUUCAAAAAGGAGGAAUAUCAAUUUUUCUGGAUCAAGUUGACCGUGUACCCACACACGAGUAAUUUCAUGUGAAUUUCUAAUACGAAGAAAAAGGCCAGGCUCACCAUUUUAAUUGAAGCAUUUGAGUGCAAUGCACGAUGUCCUGGGCCAUAUUUGAGUGAUCGUGUGAUGGUUAUGAGAAAUCGUCCCGGGCUGUUGAGCUGGACGUUAUCCCUAUUUGGGAUACCCCCUGGACAACGGGAAGCCGGUCGCAGUUGAUUCUGGACCCUAUGCUCCUUCGGGAAAGCCGUCUGAUAAAGAGACGUGCCGUGCUCAAUGGGGUGAGACGAAGCCUGGCAAUGCCAGAAGACCGCCGAACUGAGAGUAGGCCGUGCUAUAUGCCGAGAUCAAAACUAGGAACGCGUGAUUAAUUGAGUGUGGCGUUUCAGUUAUUUGGAGCUUAUUGUUGCUCAUGCUCUUAUGUUGCCUAUGAUAUAAAUUAUACUGACCUGCAGGGUGGAUCUGAGACAAGGUAAGUCUCCUUGAUUGUGUGAUUGCGUGCUUAGGACGCUUCUGGGCGUAUUUCCCUCCUAAUUGGGGCUUAGAGUUUAGACUCGCUAAGAUGAUAUCUCACCCUGUUAUGGGACACCAUUUUUAGGGUCGUCGAGUGGAGGACCUGGAGCCGAGAGGAGGUGAUCGGAAGCGUAGGUCAGUUAGGACCGCUUCUUUUUGGAAGGCCAAUCUUUUGUAGUCUUUUGGUCAUAGACUCUUGUACAUGACUCAGUGUGAAUAUAAAGGCAUGUUUGUUUAUGAAUUCGUAUCCUGCUUUUCUAUCCCGAGAUGAUUACUGUCAGGGGAUUUCUUUUUGCUUCCGCAUGUGCAAUAAAAUGGAAAGGGUCGGCGACUCAUCUUGGGAAGUCGCAAAUUUUUAUCGACUAGAG